GGGUGAUUAGCUCAGCUGGGAGAGCGUCUGCCUUACAAGCAGAGGGUCGGCGGUUCGAUCCCGUCAUCACCCACCA
rnacentral:tRNA from 2 species